rnacentral:lncRNA from 1 species
CCCAAUCCGCAAAUAUGAAUAUAACACUCCUCAAAAUAAUUCAAUAUACAACCAACUCCAAAGAUCAACAUCCUCAACAAAAAUACUGAAUUUUACUCAAGAUAUUUCUAGAGUCUCAAAAGAUAAUAUUAUAACUAGUAUUAUUAUCUCAGUUUAUUCUUAAUCCCAAAAUAAUAAUAUAACAAAAUUAUACAAUCCCAAAAGAACGAGAUAACCAAGAUGUCCUAAUAAAAUCAUCUAUAUCUUCUAACACCAUCACGUGGCCAAAACUCAAAAUAUAUUUACAGUCGCUGGGUCGAUCUGGUGUACCUGCAACCUCCUGGUGGGGGGGAAAAUAUAAUAAAAGCAUAAUGAGUAUAAAACUCAGUGAGAUCGGUGAGUGGAUAGUAGUUUUUGAAAAUUAAUUCUUACUUUAAAAGAAAUAAUCAUAUCAUUUCCAAACACGAUUUCAUCAAACCAUAUGCGAGAAACCAGUAAUAAAUCAUUUAACAUUUAAAUCAUAUUACUAACCAUGAAAAACAUAUAUAAUAUCGUACUAAAUAACCAUGCAAAUCAUAUCACAAUAUCAUAUAGAAUACACAAAUCGGAAAAUCAUCACCAAACAAGUACUCAGGGAAAUAAUCUUGUCAUAUCCGGACCUCAACGGACAGGCAAUGACGUACUAUCUGGGUACCGUCACACCCCGGAGCUACACGGAUAGAUAGGGAAAUACCAUCUCAUAUCUCAUCAUAUCGCAUCAUAUAUGUGCAUACAUAAUCUAGUCCCCAAAGGACAAAAGCGCCCAAGUACACGGCCCAAAGCCUUUGUGUGUGCUCAGACAGGCCCCAAAGGCAUGUAUCUCAUUUGUAUCAUAUGUGUCAUAUGUAUCUCAAUAUCUGUCUGUAUCUCAUAUAUGUAUCUUUGUAAUCAUCAUACCGCAUGCAUAUGCCCCCAAAAGGCAAAGGCGCCCAAACACACGACCCAAAGCCUCUAUGUGUGUUCAGACGGGCCCCAAAGGCCUCUAUCUCAUCUCAUCUGUAUCACUGUAUCUGGAGGGAGGGGUACUGUCCAAUGAUUUUAAAAACAAUCUCUAUACUCAUAUUCAUAUAUAUUUUAAUCAUACUUUAAAUCAUACAUUUCUUUUCAUUAUCACAUCUAAAUCCACUUUUCUCAUCUUUAAAAUUCUAUCAUAUUUCAUUCAAAGUCGACACGGAAAACCAUUGACCAAACAUUUUAAUAUAAUAUCAAUGCGUGUAUAAAAUCCAUUUCAAGGAAAUCAUUAAAUCAGAACAUUUAAAAAACUUAUUUCUCAAACAUGCUUUACUAUCAUAAUUAACUAUGAAAAUAGAUUUUGUAUAUUCCACUCACAGUGACGGUGUUCACGCUCGGUUAUCGUCCAUGUCCGUGGACCGGUUCUCGCUCGCAGAUCCUCCUAAAUCAAGGAAACGACAUAAUUAUUUUCCGUAAAUCAGAAUUACGACUAAAUUUUAUGCAAUAAACUCGAAACGAACAUCUAUCCAUAAUUUACAACUCCCAUGUCGAUAAAAUUACUAAAAUACUCUCGUACCCGUAAAUCGUUAAAAUACUUUGAAAUCGGAAGUCACCGAAUUACCCUCGGAAUCAUAAUUAUACCCAAUCCUCAAUUUCAUAAAUUACUAAAAUAUCCACAGGCUCAUAAAUUACAAAAUUGCCCUCAUAGUGUGAAAUUACCGAAAUGCCCUUGCCGAUCAACGGUCACCGGAAUUUAGUCAACGCUGGCCGGGAAGCUCAAGUCUGAAAUUUCCAAUCACGCUGAGUCUAAUAAUGCCAGCGGUGAGCUCCCACGCACGGCAACGAUGCCAAAAUCUAGCACGAUAGCCGUGAAUUUCCCACAAUUGACCGGCGGUGAAACAAUGACUCCCGGUGGCUAUGGAUGGUCGGAAAUGGAAGAGGGAGUCGUGGGGAACAAAAUCCAACCGGUGGUGUCACCCAAAAACGAUGAAAAUCUCGGCGGAGCAAAGUGAAACAGUCGCGGGUUUUCAAGCUUUGGUCGCCGACGUUCUGGCUAUUUUUCGGCGACGUGGACGGUAGGGGUAUGAUGGCCGGUCUUCAAGCUUCAGAUUGGUGCCAAGCUUGACUGGUGGGGUGUUCGGAAUCGAAAGAUAUGGCCGGGUCAAACGAGUCGGGUUUUUGGGUCUGUAGUUGGGUCGGUUUGGCAACUUCCCUUCUCUCUCUCACGUGUGAGUAUAUUCCCCUGUUUCCAGCUCUUUUCUUU